AGCAUCAGACAGCCUGGGCAACCAAGAUGGAGUCACACAUCCAGAUCUUCAUAUUCCUGCUCAUCUGCUUGUCUGGUACUGAGGGGAACAUUGUGAUGACCCAGACUCCUGAAUUCAUGUCCACAUCUGUUGGAGAGAGAAUUACCUUAAGCUGCAAGUCUAGUCAGAGUGUGAGUGGUUGGGUAGCUUGGUACCAGCAGAAACCAUGGCAGCCUCCUAAACUGCUAAUCUAUGGUGCAUCCAAUAGAUACACUGGGGUCCCUGAUCACUUCACAGGAAGUGGAUCUGGACAGAUUACACUCAGCAGUGUGCAGGCUGAAGACCUGGCAGUUUAUUACUGUCAGCAAUAUGACUAUACUCCUCCCACAGUGUUUCAGCGUUCAACACAAACCUCCUUGAGAGUCUCACCAGCUGCCUGUCCUGCACAGGCCGAUAAUCGUUGCUCCCAGGCUUUUGGACCGGCAGUAAUGGAGUAUUUCAAGCAGAUUGACACCUUUUUAAAACCCCUAGGUCAAGGAGUCGCUGAAUAUGAGGGCAAAUCCCAUCAUGAGCUUCCUUAG